rnacentral:rRNA from 1 species
GAUGAACGCUAGCGGCAGGCCUAACACAUGCAAGUCGAGGGGCAGCAUGAUUAAUAGCAAUAUUAAUUGAUGGCGACCGGCGCACGGGUGCGUAACACGUAUGCAAUCUACCUUAUACAGGGGCAUAACUUCGAGAAAUCGGUGCUAAUUCCCCACAACACUAUGACUGGGCAUCCAGCUGUAGUUAAAGUUUCGGCGGUAUAAGAUGAGCAUGCGUCCAAUUAGCUAGUAGGUACGGUGAUGGCUCACCUAGGCUACGAUUGGUAGGGGUUCUGAGAGGAUGCGACCACACACUGUAACUGAGACACGGACCAGACUCCUGCGGGAGGCAGCAGUGAGGAAUAUUGCGCAUUGGACGCAAGUCUGACGCAGCCAUGCCGCGUGAAGGAAUGAAGGUGCUAUGGAUUGGAAAGUUCUUUUGUACGGGAAUAAGCCCUGCCUCGUGAGGUAGGCUGAAGGUACCCUCAGAAUAAACACCGGCUAACUCCGUGCCUGCCGCCGCGGUAUAAC